UACGUAGGGGGCUAGCGUUGUCCGGAUUUAUUGGGCGUAAAGAGCGUGUAGGCGGCCAGAUAGGUCUGCUGUGAAAACUCGAGGCUCAACCUCGAGAUGUCGGCGGAAACCACUUGGCUAGAGUCCGGAAGAGGAGAGUGGAAUUCCUGGUGUAGCGGUGAAAUGCGCAGAUAUCAGGAAGAACACCUAUGGCGAAGGCAGCUCUCUGGGACGGUACUGACGCUGAGACGCGAAAGCGUGGGGAGCGAACAGG
rnacentral:rRNA from 1 species